rnacentral:rRNA from 1 species
ACGAACGCUGGCGGCGUGCUUAACACAUGCCAGUCGAACGGAAAGGCCCCUUUGGGGGUACUCGAGUGGCGACCGGGUGAGUAACACGUGAGUAACCUGCCCUUGACUUCGGGAUAACUUCAGGAAACUGGGGCUAAUACCGGAUAGGAAUCCUUGCUGCAUGGUGGGGGUUGGAAAGCUUCGGCGGUUUUGGAUGGACUCGCGGCUUAUCAGCUUGUUGGUGGGGUAGUGGCUUACCAAGGCUUUGACGGGUAGCCGGCCUGAGAGGGCGACCGGCCACAUUGGGACUGAGAUACGGCCCAGACUCCUACGGGAGGCAGCAGUGGGGAAUAUUGCACAAUGGGCGGAAGCCUGAUGCAGCAACGCCGCGUGCGGGAUGACGGCCUUCGGGUUGUAAACCGCUUUCAGCAGGGGCGAAGCUUGUGGUGACGGUACCUGCAGAAGAAGCACCGGCUAACUACGUG